GCUGGGGUGGCCAAGCCCGGACUAAGGCGGCGGUCUCGAAAACCGCUGGUGCUUUUGCAUCACGGGGGUUCAAAUCCCUUCCCCAGCG
rnacentral:tRNA from 2 species